rnacentral:rRNA from 1 species
CAAUAGCGUAUAUUAAAGUUGUUGCGGUUAAAAAGCUCGUAGUUGGAUUUCUGUUGGGAACGACCGGUCCGCCCAUUGGGUGUGUAUCUGGCUUGUUCUCGGCAUCUUCUUGGUGAACGUUGCUGCACUUGACUGUGUGGAGCGCUACCCAGGACUUUUACUUUGAGGAAAUUAGAGUGUUUCAAGCAGGCAUAUGCCUUGAAUACAUUAGCAUGGAAUAAUAAGAUAGGACCUCGGUUCUAUUUUGUUGGUUUCUAGAGCUGAGGUAAUGAUUAAUAGGGAUAGUUGGGGGCAUUCGUAUUUAACUGUCAGAGGUGAAAUUCUUGGAUUUGUUAAAGAUGGACUACUGCGAAAGCAUUUGCCAAGGAUGUUUUCAUUGA